rnacentral:miRNA from 1 species
UCUAGGGCUGGAGAGAUGGCUA